UACGUAGGGUGCAAGCGUUGUCCGGAAUCAUUGGGCGUAAAGCGCGUGUAGGCGGCCUUGUAAGUCCGUUCUGAAAGUCCGGGGCUCAACCCCGGGAGGCGGAUGGAUACUGCAAGGCUCGAGUACGGAAGAGGCGAGUGGAAUUCCCGGUGUAGCGGUGAAAUGCGCAGAUAUCGGGAGGAACACCAAUGGCGAAGGCAGCUCGCUGGGACGUUACUGACGCUGAGACGCGAAAGCGUGGGGAGCAAACAGG
rnacentral:rRNA from 1 species